rnacentral:misc_RNA from 1 species
UGCUCAGAGUGGCUAUUUCAACCAUAUGGUGCCGUGGUAACGGCUCGCGCAAGCGCCCGGCCGCUUGACCGGAAUAGCAUAGACUGCCCAAAUACAAAGAGCUUAGGGAAAUUUUCUACGAUGAUGGUUUCGCGUCACGCGCAAGCGGAACAGCCGCUCGAUCUGCCUCCGGGGUACACGCUCGUAUCGCUUCGCGAGUAUGGCGACGCGUUUGCGCACGGCUGCACUAUUGCAGCCGAAGCUGGCGCGGGAACAUUGGUCUGGGUCCGGCGCUACGACCUGGUCGAGUUCGCCGUCGUG